ACCAAGCAAAAUGGAUUGGCGCUGCUAGGCUCGCGUCCCCCACGGCUUUGAAGGGGCCGUCGAGCUUUGGGGAAUCCCUCCGCGCGCCAUGGCCUCCGCCUGGGAAGAAUUCUCCGAACCCGGUAUUCCCCUCCUCUCCUCUGUCGGUUUCUCUUUUUGUUUCGUUUAAUCGCUCGAGAAAACGGGUCCAGAAUUGCGAGAAACGUCUUCUGUCGUCUUUCCAUUAUUACUUCGUGCUCUGGACGGAAGUUUAUGGAGGCUUUCUGCCCUAGAUCGCUUCUCUUGCUUUUUAGUGAACGGCGUGGUUAAUCGAGAUCAAGCGCCGGUGGAUAGGAUAGGGCAUGAUUCUACAUUGAGAUUGCUCAAGCUUAGGGUUGUUAGUAAAAUACGAUGAUGAUGAGGACGUCCAAGGAAUCGUUCCACAUCGCUAGAGAGCCGGACGAUAUAUAUUAGGUCUGUGGCUUAGACUUUCGUUGAGACAUUCUCUCAAACACUUCCCUUUCUUCCACUUCCAAAGAUUAUUAGAUACCGUUCUUUCUUAGAAGUUAAUCAUAUCUUAGUGGUUAUGAAUAACUGAUGCUAUUUGUUUUCAGCAUGCAUUAAUCUGCGGCUAAUUGUUAUCAGAUUUAGAUACCAGUCACGAAAAAUCGACAAGAAUUUCUGCAAGUAUGGUGCUGUGACCGGAACAUUAGUUUUGUUGUGACCAUGUCACAACUUGAGCACAUACUUGUGGAAAUAUAAAGAUAGUUAACUAAGGUCCUUACACUUUGUUGGAUCCAAGAUUUUUGGAGUCUACUCGAUUCAUUAAACACAGGCUUGGAUAGAAAAAUAGGCGCCUAAUUCUCGGGUAGCUUAGGUACUUAGCCGGGUUAGUAUACUAUAAAAUUUAUAGGCACCUAUCCCUUUGUCAUUUUAUUGUUGAACAACAACAACAACAGCAAUGGGUUGUGUUCUUUUUCUCUACUAAACCAUUUAAAUCAGAUUCAAGUGCUUUAAGUAGGAUUUGGGAUGAGUUCGGGCUUGAGUGAAAUCUGUGAGUUCUGAACCAUUAGCCAGGUUUAGCCAUUUUGUCCAGAUUUAUUACGACUUCUUGGAAAUAAAGUGCAUUGUUGACAUUUGACUCCUUGGUGGCAGUUCUUUACUUUUCUUGAUCUUUUAUGACUGUAGAGGUUGAAGUAGGAAAGAUGCUGUCUAUGAUGGGCAGGUCAUGGCUCAAACUUCAAACAUGUUUACCACAACAGUCUUGGAAUAGAAUAGCAAAAGAAUCAAAUGAAGUCUUCCUAACUGUCAAAUUUUAUAUUGGCACUCUGAGCAGAUUCUCUUUGGGAAAGAACCCACUGAAACCCGGUUUUAUAGAUGAAGAUGGUGGCACAGCAAGUUAAGUUAGGUUACCCCUGCAAUGGUCCACCUUCCCUUCAAGAUCUUUCAGGAGGAUUGUGCAUGCAAGGGUGUAGCACUCCAUGAGACCUGAUGGCCUUCGAAAGAACUUCCACGUCUAGCAUCAUGAACUCAUUCAAUUCCAUUGAAUGAGGAAUCAUGAUUGUUUGUGUAUUUAUUUUUCCAUGGUCUGUUUCUACACUCAUCUCUGUUUCUGUUGAGUAAUGUCUCACACAUAGUUCCUGCAUUAAAAGGGGAGAACAAGGAGGACCACAUUGAAUGGGAAGACUGAGUGGGAAUGAUAUUUGCUUGGGCUUGGGAGCUUUGGUACACAAGCAAACAUGAGUGGAGACCCUUUGGGUUUUUCUUUUUCACCUACGUUGCACUUUAUGCAAUCAUAGGUUUUUCAUGAGCCUCCAAUAUUAUAUAGACCCAAAACACCAUGGAAGGGACCUUUUUGAUGGAACCAAUGGAUUAGCCAUGAUUUUGUCUCCAUCUCAAAGUUGGAAGGUCCAUGAUGAUACCCUUCAAAACCAUUUAUUUAUAAGAGGACAACUUGAGCCCGCACUACUGUAAGCACAACAAGUGUCACCAUGAUCUAAUGAAGUCUACCUGUAAUUCACAUAGCACUUUCUUCUUGUUAAGAGCUACUAGAAAAGGGAUUGGUGGGAGUGAAGUAGGCCUGAAGUUAGGUUAUGCUUUGGCCAGUGGGACAGAGAUGUCCUGCUGAAGGUCUCGAGAUACAUGUCUACAAGGCUAGAUUAGGGUUUGGGCCUCCUUUAAUAAGGGCAUUUUAUUCCAUAGGGUGAGCUGAAGGCUAAGGGUUAAGACCUAGAGUAGUUGCCAAGUUUUUGGAAGGCCACAAAUGAGAGGCAUGACACAGUUUUUGACAAGCUAGUUAUUCUUAUCUGUUUGGAUAACAAGUGCUUUCAAAGUCCAAACAGGUGAGGCAUAUGGUCUAGACCAUAGGCUUAGUCUAGAUGGUACAUCUAAAAGCAUUAGGACACCAGAGAUUUAUACACAACAAGAGGAAGAAGUUGGCUCAGGCAUUGCUGCUACAAACCCUAGAAGUGUCAUACUUUGUAAGUUACUUUAUGGUAGAGUAGAACAUCAUUUUUAACUUAGAGAAGACAAUGGAAUUGUGCUGUUAAACGUGUGCUGAUGCAGAGAGAUGCAGGCUCUGCUACCUCUGCUGUUAAACCCCAGAGGUAGCAGAGCCUGCAUUUAUAAUCUUAAUGCUUGCGCAUCUCUAUGCAUGAUCAUCUCUAUCAUAUAAUGGUAAUGAAAUGGCAGAGUCCAUGUUAAUCUUUGAUAGAAAACCAUGAUAAGAGAGAGAGAGAGUUGAAGAGCUAGUGUUUGAUAAGGAGCAUAGUCCACCUUGAAAGGGUAAAAAGCCCUUGCAAGAUUCUCCUCGAGUGCUUGUGUCGAUGAUACCUCGUGAUGAAUCUCAUCAAAUGGUGUCUACUUUAGGACUAGAAUGGACUUGGUGCUAUGAUAAGAUGGCAUUUAAUUCCCCAUUAAUUAGAGCACAACCAAUCGACCAUCAAAAUGGGGAUAACCUUGAGGAGUUCAUGCAAGCAGAUUACCGAAGAUAGCACUCGACACAAGUUUACGGGAGAAGCUUCAACGGAGAGCAUCGCCAUGAUGAAGACGACUCUUUUCCUGCCAUGUCGAUCUCCUCUCACCGUAAACCAAUCCCAAGGCAAUAAAUGCGACAGAAUUAAGUGCUAACCCAGUCGUAAUGGUGCAUGUGACGUGCUGCCUCCUCAAGAUCUUAAUGACCAUAAUCCAGCUUACAAACACAUCAACCAAGGAACAUAUUCUAAGCCUUUAUCUUCCAUGAUCUGGUACAUAUAUGCAUGGAUAGGUUUGACUUAUUAUGAGUGCAUAUCGACAUUGAGGCAUAUGGACGUACGGUGGUUGUUGGAGGAGGGUGAUGGCAUGCAGACCCAUGCAAAUUAUAAGGUGGCUGGGAAUAUUAUCUCAGGAGAUGUACUGACACGCUGCAUGUGAGUGCACACGUCUCCUUUCUCGGGGAUCCUAUGCCUUGAGAUACUCUCCUCAGGUCGAUCGGCUCCUGGGUCACGAUUCCAGAUCUCCUGUGGUUAUAGAGUUCUGGUUUCCCAUUUGUGUGGUAUGAACUGGGGGAGUUGUGAGUUCAGUCAGAUUGGCCGUCGGGUAGAACUGAAAUCAAUGACCCUUCUGAUCAUCACUUCUAAAAUCAUCCUCAUAUCUUGAUUAAUUGAUAAACAUGUAUAUAUUUUUCUGAUGUAGGAGGAGUUUUUUUCCUCUUAAUUUUUAAUCGAUGUCAUUCCAUCUAAGACAUGUUUUGAUUUAUGCCUUUCACACUCUCUCACGAUGGUAGAUGACUCAACCCGUCACAUAAUAUAUAUUUUUUAUUUAUAUAUAAAGUCCAAUUCUUUUUUUCUUCUUAUUACUGUAUGGAUUCACCAAUUAUGGAAAAUACAGUUAAUUUUUCUCCGGGGUGAUAGGUAAAAUUGACACCGUCAUCCUUCUUCACAUGUUUCAUCGAAGACACAGCGAGGUGCACUGCACUGCAGCUUCCUCCUAUUUCUACGGUGAAUAACUCCAAUAGCCGCAUUUGUCACACAGGCAGAAUGACACACGAGAUCCGGCCACAAAGCCUGUUCCGUUCUCUCCCUUCAUACAUAUAUUAUUGGCCUGCAGUCCUCUCCCUGACCUAUUCUUUUAAUGAGACAAAAUCUUGGAGAGACCGAGAGAAAGAGGGGCGAUGUUAUCCACUUCAAUCCUUCAUGUCUUCCUUCUUCAUGUGCACCGCAGACCGGCGGCAGGCGAACCCGGCGCUUUUAGAUUGCCGGGGACGACGACAGCCACGUGGCUGCAUCCGCUUGCUUUACGGGUACUACAACGUGCUUUAGAACUCGGCUCGGCUCGGCUCGGCUAAGCUGCAGCUCAAUGAACCCUCAAACAGGUAUUUGUGGACCUAUCAUCUCCUGAUUAUAAAAUCCAGUUAAUUGGAUCUUAAAAAUCGAAUAACACUUUCGAUUGGUUUGGUUCGCUAAUUAGAUCAUCUAAAUCUUAAAUCGAUUAAAAUACCAUCAACCUUUUUAUUUAUCAUCAAAGAUAUUUGAAUAUUUUAAAGAAUAUUCAUGUGUUCUUAUUAUAUUUAUUAUUUUCUCAUUGUCUAGAUGAUAUUCGACUAUGAUGAUUAUUAUGCUAUGCACACUACUCCUUAACCAGUGUGAUAUUUUUCUUAGAAGAAUUUGAAUGCUACCCUAUUACAUGCAAGUUUUUUCUUCAUUGUCGUGCCUAUAAUUUGUGAAAAGAAAUGUAUUGGAAUGAGUAGGGUGGAUGGUAAGCUGAGUCCUGAACAGAGGGUUAGGGUUGAGGAGGGACAUCCCAAAGGCCAUUGGGAUUUUGUUCCUAGGGGAGUGAACCGGGUGCCAUCAAUGGCAGGAGAGCACAGUGUAGUAGGAUCGGACAGGUACCCACCGAAACAAGAGGAAGAACAAGGUGGUACAGGGCAACAAUAAAUCAUAGUCCCCAAUCCCCAUCCCCACCCUACGAGUAGCACAGCACUUCCUCACUCCAAUGUCUAUUGGUACUUCUCAUAUGGACAAGCCUGCCUUUGUUUUGUUUUCUUUUCUUGAAACAUUGCAAGUUUUAUGCCGAGCAAUGCCUCUUCCUGCCUUGGGAUGUUGUGUUUGACCAGUUUAAGAUUCAUAGGUUGCGUUCUGACUUUU
rnacentral:lncRNA from 1 species